UACGAAGGGGGCUAGCGUUGCUCGGAAUUACUGGGCGUAAAGGGCGCGUAGGCGGUGUGGCAAGUCAGGUGUGAAACCUCCAGGCUCAACUUGGAGCUUGCAUCUGAAACUGCCGUGCUAGAGUGUGGGAGAGGAGAGUGGAAUUCCUGGUGUAGCGGUGAAAUGCGUAGAUAUUGGGAAGAACACCGGUGGCGAAGGCGGCUCUCUGGACCGAGACUGACGCUGAGGCGCGAAAGCGUGGGGAGCAAACAGG
rnacentral:rRNA from 1 species